GAUGAACGCUGGCGGCGUGCCUAACACAUGCAAGUCGAACGAAGCACCUUACCUGAUUCUUCGGAUGAAAGUUUGGUGACUGAGUGGCGGACGGGUGAGUAACGCGUGGGUAACCUGCCCUGUACAGGGGGAUAACAGCUGGAAACGGCUGCUAAUACCGCAUAAGCGCACGAGGAGACAUCUCCUUGUGUGAAAAACUCCGGUGGUACAGGAUGGGCCCGCGUCUGAUUAGCUGGUUGGCAGGGUAACGGCCUACCAAGGCAACGAUCAGUAGCCGGUAUGAGAGGAUGAACGGCCACAUUGGAACUGAGACACGGUCCAAACUCCUACGGGAGGCAGCAGUGGGGAAUAUUGCACAAUGGGGGAAACCCUGAUGCAGCAACGCCGCGUGAGUGAAGAAGUAUUUCGGUAUGUAAAGCUCUAUCAGCAGGGAAGAUAAUGACGGUACCGGACUAAGAAGCUCCGGCUAAAUACGU
rnacentral:rRNA from 1 species